rnacentral:lncRNA from 1 species
CGUGGUGGCUUUGGUGGCAGCCAUGGUGGUGGUGAUGGAUAUGGUGGCAGUGGGGAUUGCUAUAAUAGAUUUGGUAAUGAUUGAAGCAAUUUUGGAGGUGGUAAAAGCUACAAUGAUUUUGGCAAUGACAACAAUCAGUCUUCAAAUUUUGGACCCAUGAAGGGAGGAAACUUUGGAGGCAGAAGCUCUGGGCCCUAUGGUGGUAGAGGCCAAUACUUUGCCAAACCACGAUACCAAGGUGGCUAAGGCAGUUCCAGUAGCAGUAGUGGUUAAGGCAGUUCCAGUAGCAGUAGUAGCUGUGGCACUGACAGAAGAUUUUAA